rnacentral:piRNA from 1 species
UAGAAAGCCUCGAGACAAAGCAAUCUCUUA